AUCAUUGAGUGAAUACAUAGCUCAAUGAAGCGAACCGGGAGAACUGAAACAUCUAAGUACCCCGAGGAAAAGAAAUCAACCGAGAUUCCGAAAGUAGCGGCGAGCGAAAUUGGAUUAGCCCUUAAGCUUUACAUGUGUUAGACGAACGGUCUGGAAAGUCCGACGAUACAGGGUGAUAGUCCCGUAGUUGUAGAUGCAUGUUCAGUGAAAUCGAGUAGGGCGGGACACGUGUUAUCCUGUCUGAAUAUGGGGGGACCAUCCUCCAAGGCUAAAUACUCCUGACUGACCGAUAGUGAACCAGUACCGUGAGGGAAAGGCGAAAAGAACCCCUGUGAGGGGAGUGAAAUAGAACCUGAAACCGUGUACGUACAAGCAGUAGGAGCACCUUCGUGGUGUGACUGCGUACCUUUUGUAUAAUGGGUCAGCGACUUAUAUUCAGUGGCAAGGUUAACCAUCUAGGGGAGCCGUAGGGAAACCGAGUCUUAACUGGGCGCCAUAGUCUCUGGAUAUAGACCCGAAACCGAGUGAUCUAGCCAUGGGCAGGUUGAAGGUUGAGUAACAUCAACUGGAGGACCGAACCGACUAAUGUUGAAAAAUUAGCGGAUGACUUGUGGCUAGGGGUGAAAGGCCAAUCAAACUCGGAGAUAGCUGGUUCUCCCCGAAAGCUAUUUAGGUAGCGCCUCGGACGAAUACUACUGGGGGUAGAGCACUGUUAAGGCUAGGGGGUCAUCCCGACUUACCAACCCUUUGCAAACUCCGAAUACCAGUAAGUACUAUCCGGGAGACACACGGCGGGUGCUAACGUCCGUCGUGGAGAGGGAAACAACCCAGACCGCCAGCUAAGGUCCCAAAUUACAGCUAAGUGGGAAACGAUGUGGGAAGGCUUAGACAGCUAGGAUGUUGGCUUAGAAGCAGCCAUCAUUUAAAGAAAGCGUAAUAGCUCACUAGUCGAGUCGGCCUGCGCGGAAGAUGUAACGGGGCUAAGUUGUAAACCGAAGCUGCGGCAAUGUUCUUUGAACAUUGGGUAGGGGAGCGUUCUGUAAGCCGUUGAAGGUGUGUUGUAAAGCAUGCUGGAGGUAUCAGAAGUGCGAAUGCUGACAUGAGUAACGACAAGGGGGGUGAAAAACCUCCCCGCCGGAAGACCAAGGGUUCCUGUCCAACGUUAAUCGGGGCAGGGUAAGUCGACCCCUAAGGCGAGGCCGAAAGGCGUAGUCGAUGGGAAACGGGUUAAUAUUCCCGUACUUCUUACAAUUGCGAUGGGGGGACGGAGAAGGCUAGGUGGGCCUGGCGACGGUUGUCCAGGUUCAAGUGCGUAGGCUGAGUGUUUAGGUAAAUCCGGACACUCUUAAGGCUGAGACACGACGUCGAGCUACUACGGUAGUGAAGUCAUUGAUGCCAUGCUUCCAGGAAAAGCCUCUAAGCUUCAGAUUGUAAGGAAUCGUACCCCAAACCGACACAGGUGGUCGGGUAGAGAAUACCAAGGCGCUUGAGAGAACUCGGGUGAAGGAACUAGGCAAAAUGGUACCGUAACUUCGGGAGAAGGUACGCUCUUGAUGGUGAAGUCCCUUGCGGAUGGAGCUGACGAGAGUCGCAGAUACCAGGUGGCUGCAACUGUUUAUUAAAAACACAGCACUGUGCAAAAUCGUAAGAUGACGUAUACGGUGUGACGCCUGCCCGGUGCCGGAAGGUUAAUUGAUGGGGUUAGCGUAAGCGAAGCUCUUGAUCGAAGCCCCGGUAAACGGCGGCCGUAACUAUAACGGUCCUAAGGUAGCGAAAUUCCUUGUCGGGUAAGUUCCGACCUGCACGAAUGGCGUAAUGAUGGCCACGCUGUCUCCACCCGAGACUCAGUGAAAUUGAAAUCGCUGUGAAGAUGCAGUGUACCCGCGGCUAGACGGAAAGACCCCGUGAACCUUUACUACAGCUUGGCACUGAACAUUGAACCUACAUGUGUAGGAUA
rnacentral:rRNA from 1 species